rnacentral:rRNA from 1 species
GCCCUUCGGCUCCGCCUCCGUGUUACCGCGGCUGCUGGCUCCCGUAUUACCGCGGCUGCUGGCUCCCGUAUUACCGCGGCUGCUGGGUCCCGUAUUACCUCAGCCGCUGGUGCUCGAUUUCCCUCUGCUGCCUUGCCUAGGAUUCCCUAC